AGAACGAACGCUGGCGGCAGGCUUAACACAUGCAAGUCGAACGCGUGUAGCAAUACACGAGUGGCGCACGGGUGAGUAACGCGUGGAUAUCUGCCUUUUGGUUCGGAAUAACUCCGGGAAACUGGAGCUAAUACCGGAUGGUUCCUACGGGAUAAAGAUUUAUCGCCAAAAGAUGAGUCCGCGUACGAUUAGCUAGUUGGUGAGGUAAUGGCUCACCAAGGCGACGAUCGUUAGCUGGUCUGAGAGGACGAUCAGCCACACUGGGACUGAGACACGGCCCAGACUCCUACGGGAGGCAGCAGUGGGAAUAUUGGACAAUGGGGGCAACCCUGAUCCAGCCAUGCCGCGUGAGUGAUGAAGGCCUUCGGGUUGUAAAGCUCUUUUGGCGGGGACGAUGAUGACGGUACCCGCAGAAUAAGCCCCGGCUAACUUCGUGCCAGCAGCCGC
rnacentral:rRNA from 1 species